AUCCUUUGUAGUUCAUAAGCGUGACGACUGGGCUUUCACGCUCAUGUGUGAAAUGUGCCUCGCUCAAACCUUGUUACGACGUCGGCACAUUAACCAUCUGACA
rnacentral:snoRNA from 1 species